GACGAACGCUGGCGGCAGGCCUAAUACAUGCAAGUCGAGCGGAAUGAUGAAGAAGCUUGCUUCUUCUGAUUUUAGCGGCGGACGGGUGAGUAACACGUGGGCAACCUACCUUGUAGAUUGGGAUAACUCCGGGAAACCGGGGCUAAUACCGAAUAAUCCAUUUUGCUUCAUGGCGAGAUGUUGAAAGACGGUUUCGGCUGUCACUACAAGAUGGGCCCGCGGCGCAUUAGCUAGUUGGUAGGGUAAUGGCCUACCAAGGCGACGAUGCGUAGCCGACCUGAGAGGGUGAUCGGCCACACUGGGACUGAGACACGGCCCAGACUCCUACGGGAGGCAGCAGUAGGGAGUCUUCCACAAUGGACGAAAGUCUGAUGGAGCAACGCCGCGUGAGUGAAGAAGGUUUUCGGAUCGUAAAACUCUGUUGUAAGGGAAGAACACGUACGAGAGUAACUGCUCGUACCUUGACGGUACCUUAUUAGAAAGCCACGGCUAACUACGUG
rnacentral:rRNA from 1 species